rnacentral:rRNA from 1 species
CUGUAAUUGGAAUGAGUACACUUUAAAUCCUUUAACAAGGACCUAUUGGAGGGCAAGUCUGGUGCCAGCAGCCGCGGUAACUCCAGCUCCAAUAGCGUAUAUUAAAGUUGUUGCGGUUAAAACGUUCGUAGUUGAACUUGUGCUUCAUACGGGUAGUACAACUAUAAUUGUAGUUCGUACUGUACCUUAUGUAUGUAAGCGUAUUACCGGUGGAGUUCUUAUAUAUAAAUACUUUAUUAUCCUCCUAUAUAAACCUGCUUCAGUGCUCUUCAUCGAGUGUUGUUGUGGGCCGGUACAAUUACUUUGAACAAAUUAGAGUGCUUAAAGCAGGCUCCAAAUGCCUGAAUAUUUUGUGCAUGGAAUAAUGAAAUAAGACCUCUGUUCUACUUUCAUUGGUUUUUAGAUCAAGAGGUAAUGAUUAAUAGAAGCAGUUUGGGGGCAUUAGUAUUACGACGCGAGAGGUGAAAUUCUUGGACCGUCGUAAGACUAACUUAAGCGAAAGCAUUUGCCAAAGAUGUUUUCAUUAAUCAAGAACGAAAGUUAGAGGUUCGAAGGCGAUCAGAUACCGCCCUAGUUCUAACCAUAAACGAUGCCAGCUAGCAAUUGGGUGUAGCUACUUUAAUGGCUCUCUCAGUCGCUUCCCGGGAAACCAAAGCUUUUGGGCUCCGGGGGAAGUAUGGUUGCAAAGCUGAAACUUAAAGGAAUUGACGGAAGGGCACCACCAGGAGUGGA